AACGAACGCUGGCGGCAGGCUUAACACAUGCAAGUCGAACGCGUGUAGCAAUACACGAGCGGCAGACGGGUGAGUAACGCGUGGGAAUCUACCUUUUGCUACGGAAUAACCCAGGGAGACUUGUGCUAAUACCGUAUGUGCCCUUCGGGGGAAAGAUUUAUCGGCAAAGGAUGAGCCCGCGUUGGAUUAGCUAGUUGGUGGGGUAAAGGCCCACCAAGGCGACGAUCCAUAGCUGGUCUGAGAGGAUGAUCAGCCACACUGGGACUGAGACACGGCCCAGACUCCUACGGGAGGCAGCAGUGGGGAAUAUUGGACAAUGGGCGCAAGCCUGAUCCAGCCAUGCCGCGUGAGUGAUGAAGGCCCUAGGGUUGUAAAGCUCUUUCACCGGUGAAGAUAAUGACGGUAACCGGAGAAGAAGCCCCGGCUAACUUCGUGCCAGCAGCCGCCGUAACAC
rnacentral:rRNA from 1 species